rnacentral:rRNA from 1 species
AACGAACGCUGGCGGCAGGCCUAACACAUGCAAGUCGAGCGAGGACUUCGGUUCUAGCGGCGGACGGGUGAGUAACGCGUGGGAAUGUGCCCUUCUCUACGGAAUAGCCCUGGGAAACUGGGAGUAAUACCGUAUACGCCCUUUUGGGGAAAGAUUUAUCGGAGAAGGAUCAGCCCGCGUUGGAUUAGGUAGUUGGUGGGGUAAUGGCCUACCAAGCCGACGAUCCAUAGCUGGUUUGAGAGGAUGAUCAGCCACACUGGGACUGAGACACGGCCCAGACUACUAGGGGAGGCGGCAGUGCGGAAUAUGGAAAAAUGGGGGAUGGCCUGAGGGCGCUAGGGCGCGGGAAGAAAGAGGGCCGGAGAGUGGAAAAGCGCGUGUAUAAGUGAGGAAUAGGACGGUAACGAAUGAAGAAGAACGGGCUAACUUCGGG